UUAUAAAUGAUAUUGAGCAGACUGAAGUAUUUUUUUUUCUUUUUGCUUCAGCAUUCCCUGGCAGGGUCAUUGAGAAAGGGUAUGAAUCGGGUUAGGAGAAAGAAAAUCAGUUGAGAGCAUAAAUCGUGUGGGGGAUGUGGAUCACAACCAAUGUUUCUUGGAAUCCCUUUUGCUCACCUGGCUGCUAUCACUGCAAGGACUGAGGCUUGGAAGAAACUUGGCCACGAGGAAAAAUAAGCUGAUGCUGUUGUUUCUACAAAGUAGGAACAGGAAGGACAGAAACUGAAGGAACAAGAUGAAUGUGAGGCCCUGGCACAGGCUGCCCAGAGAAGCUGUGGA